GCGGGGAUAGCUCAGUUGGGAGAGCGUCAGACUGAAGUUGCAACUUCUGUCUCCAUUAAUCUGAAGGUCGUGCGUUCGAUCCGCACUCACCGCA
rnacentral:tRNA from 1 species